ACAUGAUGAUACCAUCUCAUUAUCCUACUAUGUAGAUUGGUUGUGCCUCACUGCAACUGUCGACCCAUACAUGGGAAAUAUUUACCUCCCCAUUCCCUAAUUAUUUGACUCUGCAAACAUAACCUGAGGUGUUGCUCAGCAACAGAACAGACCUAUCGCUUAUAUACAAAGACACUUCUUUCAGGUAUGGCUCCCUCCUUUGGUGUUACUGAGCCUGGAAAGUAGGUAGAGGCAACCUGAGGAGAGGAAGAUUGAUGCAGCGAAGCAAAGGAGGUCAGUACAGGAUGUAAUGGUCACUCUCCAGCUCUUCUCAAAGAUGCCAACCAGUAGACUCAUGACAAUGACAUGGCCCAGCUUUGUCUUAAGAUCAUUCACCGACUGGAUUACCAGCCACUUGGGUCGUUCCUACAGACAGAACCAGAGAUGUCAAGAAACUGAAACCGACAGUGAUGCUUUGCUAGCUGAGAACCGCUGAGAGGGAUGUGCAAGUGAACC
rnacentral:lncRNA from 1 species